AAAACAGAAAUGCUGAACCUAAAAAGUGAAGAUGUUAACGCUGGUGGUUUAUUAAACCAAGGAGACACUUGUUACCUGAACAAUGUGAAGCAGGAGCUGUUCCAAGGCUUCAGAGAAGCUGUGGAGAGGUCUGUUCCACA
rnacentral:lncRNA from 1 species